rnacentral:rRNA from 1 species
UGCGUAGGCGGCUGAUUAAGUCGGAUGUGAAAUCCCUGAGCUUAACUUAGGAAUUGCAUUCGAUACUGGUCAGCUAGAGUAUGGGAGAGGAUGGUAGAAUUCCAGGUGUAGCGGUGAAAUGCGUAGAGAUCUGGAGGAAUACCGAUGGCGAAGGCAGCCAUCUGGCCUAAUACUGACGCUGAGGUACGAAAGCAUGGGGAGCAAACAGGAUUAGAUACCCCUGUA